AUGAUUGAUAUUUUUGGCGCAAUUUUGUGCAACACGUCACUGUGUGCGACCAUCGCAGAAACCAUUGCCCAGCGCGAUUCCACCACGGUAAGUCGCUUACAACAGUCUAAUAAGCAAGAUAAAUGCUUAUUGAGGGAUUAUUGGGGGAAUGGUUAUUGGGGGAUAUAUAUAUAUAUACUGUAUAUAUGCAUUAUAUACAUAUAUAAAGUGUAUACAAGAACCCUGAUCAUGUUAUUCCUGAUUGUUUAUCCAUUUGAAUUAAGGCAGAACCAGGAUGUGUUCAAAAUAUCAUGAUAGAACCCUUGCUCACACAAUGACUUCUUUUUAAAAUCAUUAAUUUUUAUAUGAUAUUGUGAUUGCAUGAAUGAACAAGAGCAGCAUUUACUUAACUUCUUAGCCUAGUAGUUAUUCAUAUUGUAAUAUGUAGUUUGGUGAUCUAUUAUUUUUUUAUUUGUUCUUCUCUUUCUCUGCAGGUUCCUUAAUCCCUGUCCCUUUAAAAAAAACAGCACCUCAUUACAUCAAAAAAGGCACUUUUAAGAGCCACAUUUGUUUUGUUUAUUGUCUUAUUUGUAUUGUUUAUUGUCUUGUUAUCUCAGUCUCUCUCUCUCUCUCUCUCUCUCACUCUCUCUCCAUCCCUCUCCCUCUCUCUCUCUCUCUCUCUCUCUCUCUCACUCUCUUUCCAUCCCUCUCUCCCUCUCUCUCUCCCCUACCAUCUGAGUGGUGGUUGCUUUUUAGAGGGACGGAGGACCUGGGUUGCUGCCUCUUCUUCACUCAUUGUAAUUAACUGAAAGUGUAAAGGUCGGGAUCAAAGAAUAUAGAUUCAUUUGUUGGUGUUGUUUUAAGCGCACAAUAUACCAAUUUAAUGGAUAGAGACUGGCAUAUAAUACCUGGUUAUUGCACCAAAUGAAAUUUGCAGGAGUCUGCACAAUAUAGGCCAACCUAUAAGAUAAAAAUUGCUGUUGGCAUGAAGUCUAAGUAAAUCAAACUUAAGUUUUGUGAGGAAUGCCAGUAUUCAAAGAUGGUUUAUGACUACAGGAAAGCAAACAGCUCGCUUGGCGACUUUAUGUUUCAGGAUUUUUCUGCACUUAAAUAAUUUGCCAGCUUGCAAACAUCCAGAUCUAGUAUUACCUUUGAUAAUGUUAGAAAAGUGAUACGUUAAGCAUAACCUGCUGCUGUAUGACACAUGCUAAAAGAUUGACUAGCUCUGUCUUUCUUGUACUUAUGUGUGUUCGGAUCCCUGUAUGAUAUUUAAUAUUUAUAUUUUUUGUAUGUGUGUACACUUCAGAAUGACAAAGCCAAAAUUCAGGCCUUGCCCAAGCUGCCAAGUCCGUCAGCAGGCCAACCGCAAAAACAUGCAGUGCUUGUUUUGCCACACUGCCAAGCAAGCGGUUAUUAAAAACUGCAAAAAUUAAUGAUGACUGGGGCCAGAGGGUCGUCAAAAACAAAAAUGCAUCUCGGGUGGUGGCCUCUGCCCAAAUAGCUGUAAGUAAAAAUGCUCAUGCUUCAUUAAUUGAGUGGUAAUCAAUAUUAAGCCCAAAGAACAUACAGUAUUUGGUACCAUGUUUGUUGAUGGACAUAGCAGCCAUGCUGUGUGCUGUGUACCAGGCUUCACAUGCGUGCCUGGAUGUUGGAAGUUGGCACAUCUUGUCAGUAUGAAAUUUUAGACAGAC
ensembl:lncRNA